ACUGCGAAUGGCUCAUUAAAUCAGUUAUCGUUUAUUUGAUAGUACCUUACUACUUGGACAACCGUGGUAAUUCUAGAGCUAAUACAUGCUAAAAACCCCAACUUCGGAAGGGGUGUAUUUAUUAGAUAAAAAACCAAUGCCUUUCGGGGCUCUUUGGUGAUUCAUGAUAACUUUUCAAAUCGCAUAGCCUUGUGCUGGCGAUGGUUCAUUCAAAUUUCUGCCCUAUCAACUUUCGAUGGUAAGGUAUUGGCUUACCAUGGUUUCAACGGGUAACGGGGAAUUAGGGUUCGAUUCCGGAGAGGGAGCCUGAGAAACGUAAGUUCUUCCUUCUAUUCCAUCUGAUUGUUGCCACCUACUAACAAUCUUUACAGGGCUACCACAUCCAAGGAAGGCAGCAGGCGCGCAAAUUACCCAAUCCCGACACGGGGAGGUAGUGACAAUAAAUACUGAUACAGGGCUCUUUUGGGUCUUGUAAUUGGAAUGAGUACAAUUUAAACCUCUUAACGAGGAACAAUUGGAGGGCAAGUCUGGUGCCAGCAGCCGCGGUAAUUCCAGCUCCAAUAGCGUAUAUUAAAGUUGUUGCAGUUAAAAAGCUCGUAGUUGAACCUUGGGCCUGGCUGGCAGGUCCGCCUCACCGCGAGUACUUGUCCGGCCGGGCCUUUUUUCUGGAGAACCUCAUGCCCUUCACUGGGUGUGCUGGGGAACCAGGACUUUUACUUUGAAAAAAUUAGAGUGUUCAAAGCAGGCCUUUGCUCGAAUACGUUAGCAUGGAAUAAUAGAAUAGGACGUGCGGUCCUAUUUUGUUGGUUUCUAGGACCGCCGUAAUGAUUAAUAGGGACAGUCGGGGGCAUCAGUAUUCAAUUGUCAGAGGUGAAAUUCUUGGAUUUAUUGAAGACUAACUACUGCGAAAGCAUUUGCCAAGGAUGUUUUCAUUAAUCAGUGAACGAAAGUUAGGGGAUCGAAGACGAUCAGAUACCGUCGUAGUCUUAACCGUAAACUAUGCCGACUAGGGAUUGGGCGAUGUUUUCAUCUUGACUCGCUCAGC
rnacentral:rRNA from 1 species